UGCCAGGGCCCAUGGAAUGCGGACUUACGAACCCCGCCAGGGCCGGAAGGCAGCAACGGUAGUUUGCUCCGCAUCCGCCGUGGUCACCCUGGCUUCU
rnacentral:SRP_RNA from 1 species